GUGGUAAUGCCGGAUGCUCCAGUUGAUCGCAUGGUCUUCUGGGAAAGCUUUCGCGGUAUGGGAUGGGGUCGCGUCCUAUCAGCUUGACGGCGGGGUAACGGCCCACCGUGGCUUCGACGGGUAGCCGGCCUGAGAGGGCGACCGGCCACAUUGGGACUGAGAUACGGCCCAGACUCCUACGGGAGGCAGCAGUGGGGAAUAUUGCACAAUGGGCGCAAGCCUGAUGCAGCGACGCCGCGUGAGGGAUGGAGGCCUUCGGGUUGUAAACCUCUUUUAUCGGGGAGCAAGCGAGAGUGAGUUUACCCGUUGAAUAAGCACCGGCUAACUACGUGCCAGCAGCCGCGGUAAUACGUAGGGUGCAAGCGUUAUCCGGAAUUAUUGGGCGUAAAGGGCUCGUAGGCGGUUCGUCGCGUCCGGUGUGAAAGUCCAUCGCUUAACGGUGGAUCCGCGCCGGGUACGGGCGGGCUUGAGUGCGGUAGGGGAGACUGGA
rnacentral:rRNA from 1 species